GUUUUCAACCUAGAGUAUCAGGUGGAAACCUGCACAACUUUGGAAUUUAUUCAGAGGAUUAAUCCUGACUCCACCAAGUGCAGUGCCAAGGAGCAGAUGAGCCGGAAGACUGGGAGAGUGGUGAGGAGAAAGACUUGAUACAUGAACCCCCAUGUGAUCUCCUUCAUCAUGGAGUUCAUGAAGGCUUCACUUCAUGGAGGCUAACUGACUAGAUACAGGGCUCCUGUUUUGUCCAAGCCCAAGGAAGUUUUGUCUAAAAGGUUUGGUAAUGUGCUUUAUGUUCCUGUUCACAAAAAAA